rnacentral:sRNA from 1 species
GCUGGGCACAGUGGCACAUGCCUGUAAUCCCAGCAGCUCGGGAGGCUGAGACAGGAGGAUUGCAAUUCAAAGCCAGCCUCAGCAAUGGUGAGACGCUAAACAACUCACUCAGUGAGACCCUGUCUCUA